rnacentral:rRNA from 1 species
GGGAGGCAGCAGUGAGGAAUAUUGGUCAAUGGACGGAAGUCUGAACCAGCCAUGCCGCGUGCAGGAAGACGGCUCUAUGAGUUGUAAACUGCUUUUGUACAAGGGUAAACCUGAAUACGUGUAUUCAGCUGAAAGUACUGUACGAAUAAGGAUCGGCUAACUCCGUGCCAGCAGCCGCGGUAAUACGGAGGAUCCAAGCGUUAUCCGGAUUUAUUGGGUUUAAAGGGUGCGUAGGCGGAUUGAUAAGUUAGAGGUGAAAUGUCCGAGCUCAACUCGGGAACUGCCUCUAAUACUGUUGAUCUAGAGAGUAGAUGCGGUAGGCGGAAUGUAUGGUGUAGCGGUGAAAUGCUUAGAGAUCAUACAGAACACCGAUUGCGAAGGCAGCUUACCAAUCUAUAUCUGACGUUGAGGCACGAAAGCGUGGGGAGCAAACUGGAUUAGAUACCCUGGUAGUCCACGCAGUAAACGAUGAUAGCUCGUUGUCGGCGAUACACAGUCG